GACGAACGCUGGCGGCGUGCUUAACACAUGCAAGUCGAACGGAAAGGCCCUGCUUUUGUGGGGUGCUCGAGUGGCGAACGGGUGAGUAACACGUGAGUAACCUGCCCUUGACUUUGGGAUAACUUCAGGAAACUGGGGCUAAUACCGGAUAGGAGCUCCUGCUGCAUGGUGGGGGUUGGAAAGUUUCGGCGGUUGGGGCUGGACUCGCGGCUUAUCAGCUUGUUGGUGGGGUAGUGGCUUACCAAGGCUUUGACGGGUAGCCGGCCUGGGAGGGUGACCGGCCACAUUGGGACUGAGAUACGGCCCAGACUCCUACGGGAGGCAGCAGUGGGGAAUAUUGCACAAUGGGCGGAAGCCUGAUGCAGCAACGCCGCGUGCGGGAUGACGGCCUUCGGGUUGUAAACCGCUUUCGACUGUGACGAAGCGUGAGUGACGGUAAUGGGUAAAGAAGCACCGGCUAACUACGUG
rnacentral:rRNA from 1 species